GCGGAUGUGGCGAAAUGGCAGACGCAGCAGACUCAAAAUCUGCCGAUGGUGACAUCGUGCGGGUUCGACUCCCGCCAUCCGCA
rnacentral:tRNA from 1 species